rnacentral:rRNA from 1 species
AUUGAACGCUGGCGGCAUGCCUUACACAUGCAAGUCGAACGGUAACAGGUCUUCGGAUGCUGACGAGUGGCGAACGGGUGAGUAAUACAUCGGAACGUGCCUAGUAGUGGGGGAUAACUACUCGAAAGAGUGGCUAAUACCGCAUGAGAUCUACGGAUGAAAGCAGGGGAUCGCAAGACCUUGUGCUACUAGAGCGGCCGAUGGCAGAUUAGGUAGUUGGUGGGAUAAAAGCUUACCAAGCCGAAGAUCUGUAGCUGGUCUGAGAGGACGAUCAGCCACACUGGGACUGAGACACGCCCCAGACUCCUACGGGAGGCAGCAGUGGGGAAUUUUGGACAAUGGGCGCAAGCCUGAUCCAGCAAUGCCGCGUGCAGGAUGAAGGCCUUCGGGUUGUAAACUGCUUUUGUACGGAACGAAAAGCCCUGGGUUAAUACCCUGGGGUCAUGACGGUACCGUAAGAAUAAGCACCGGCUAACUACGUGCCAGCAGCCGCCGUAAAAC